rnacentral:rRNA from 1 species
CCAAUAGCGUAUAUUAAAGUUGUUGCAGUUAAAAAGCUCGUAGUUGAAUUUCGGGAUUAGUAAGUUGGUCGUGCCUCCGGUAUGUACUGGCUUUACUGGUUCCUCCUUCUUGAAGAACUGUAAUGUCAUUAAUUUGGUGUUGCAGGGAAACAGGACUGUUACUUUGAAAAAAUUAGAGUGUUUAAAGCAGGCUAACGCUUGAAUACAUUAGCAUGGAAUAAUGAAAUAGGACGUUUGAUCCUAUUUUGUUGGUUUCUAGGAUUGACGUAAUGAUUAAUAGGGAUAGUUUGGGGCAUUAGUAUUCAAUUGUCAGAUGUGAAAUUCUUUGAUUUAUUGAAGACUAACUACUGCGAAAGCAUUUGCCAAGGAUGUUUUCAUUAAUCAAGAACGAAAGUUAGGGGAUCGAAGACGAUCAGAUACCGUCGUAGUCUUAACCAUAAACUAUGCCGACUAGGGAUCGGAUGAUGUUAAUUUUUUAAUGACUCAUUCGGCGCCUUACG